AUCAGCACUCCUGGUAUAUUCUGCUCCUCUUUGGACAUAUCAACAGAAAGAAACCUAGAGGUUUACUUGAUCAAGAACCUCAAUGAGUGAUGAUAACAUUUCCUGUUCUCCCAGACACUUCUAAUUCUUCCUGUUGCCACCUACCUUCAACAGAAAAGCAAUUGAUCAUGGAAGCAGGCAGUUGUCGCCUUGCCCUGCAUGAGGAUAGGGACCAAUGUCUGCACCAUCUUAUCCCCAUUUGCUGACUGAACGAACCUUUGUAAGAGUCUCCUGUUUUCUCUGAAGGGUAGCAGAAUACGCUACUCCAAAAUAUGACUGGAGAAGGACGUGUUACUGCAAAAUAUGCUGCUUUGGUAUAUUGAUUAUCUUGACUGUAGGCACGUGAAAAACAGCAACUGCAGGGAGAGGCUUUCUCUGAACUCCCCUUUUCUGCCUACGGACAGAUCCUCCCAAAGGAACUCAACUGCCAUAAAUCCCCUUCCUGGGAGUUUCAUCAACCAGAGAGGAUUGACUCUUGUCACAGGAGAGACUAGAAGUCAAUACCACGCCUAGACAGACAUUGUCACAGACUGUCACAACUCCCAUCUAUUCUUCUAAGGGGCCAUUCACCUGUCCUAAAAAUCAUUCACUCUCCCCUAAGAGACCUACCACUCCCCUCCCCCUUCCCUAUUAAGAUGUUAUUUAAUCCCAAAUUCUAAGUCACCUUGGGGAUUCAUUUUUCCCCUGGGUAACUCCCGUGUAUACCUGAGGGAUACAUUAAUAAAUUUGUUUGUUUUUCUCUUAUUAAUCUGUUUUUCAUUACGGGGGUCUCAGCCAAGAACUUAGAAAGGUAGAGGGAAGAUGAUUUCCACCCCUACAUCUCUUUUCCAUGUCUCCCCUGUAUGGCAUCCGUUCUUUCCUCUGAAUUGAAGAUGUGGAGGUGUUGACGAAUGAGGGCUGGGAUGACUGUUCAAUCGUCUGGCAAUAAAAAUUCCAUGUUUUACAAGACCUUGCCC